rnacentral:lncRNA from 1 species
AGAACAUGUGACCAAGGGUAAAAGAAGUCAAAAUGACAUUACUUGGAAAGUAUCCCACACCCUACUUGAUUUUUUUUUUUUUUUAAAGGACAGUUCUUUCUUUUUACACAUUCCAGUAUUUUCAGAACAGAAGUGACAGCAAUGUCAACUCUUUGGACAUCUGCUCCAAGUCUCAUUCUGGCAAGGGCAGAGCUAUCAAAGACUUUGUCUGUCUGCCUGACAAUUUCAUCUCUCAGAAGGUAGAGGAAUCCGUGAGGAAAAUGGCUGCUCUCAAGUGAAUUCUGAUCAGUAAAAAAGGAACUGGUUGGAAAUGUGGAAAUACUGAGAAUCUCAGGAGAGAUGUUUUCAUUAUCUUCGCCCCCUCACAGAACUCCCAAAGCUCUUUAUUUAGAUCUUUUCUUACUUCUCCUUACAAUAUUGUCACUUAUAGACUUGUGUCUCUAAGAUUGUCCCUUGAGGACUGGGACCACAUCACAUCAUCUUUGUGUCUGCCAAUGCUUGGGGUAGUUAUCUUUUAAACACAAAAAAAUCAAUCAAAUGUGCUUAGUUGGAAUAUGAGCAUAGUGACUUGCAUAAUUUCAGGAUAAUGUGACAACAUUCUUUAAGAAUUUUUUUUCUUGAUCAUAAAAUGUUUUCAUUGUUGAAAACUGGAAAAAUUAUUCAGGAAGUGUAAAUGAGAAAAUACAAACUUUCUAUAAUCCUCCCACUUGAUAAGCACUUUGAAGUACUUUCUCCUUGUUAUUUAUUUUUAAGACAGUGUAUCUCUCUGUCACCCAGGCUACAGUGUAGUGGCGUGAACAUAACAGCCACUGCAACCUCAAACUCCUGGGCUCAAGCAAUCCUGUCUGAGCCUCCCAAGUGGCUAGGACUACAAGUGUGUGCCACCAUGCCAGGCUAAUUUUUAAAAUUUUCUUGUAGAGAUGACUCUUGCUAUAUUGCCCAGGCUGGUCUCAAACUCGUGGCCUCAAUCAAUCCCCUGGCCUUGGUUCCCAGUGUUGAGAUUACAGGCAUAAGCCACUGUGCCCAGCCUCUCCUUGGGUUUUAUACUUAUUUCAUAGUUUUGAUCAUACUGUAUCUACAGUUCUGUUCCUAACACUUUUUAUUCACGUUAUAUCCUAAGCAUUUUCCAUGUCAUUAAAAUGUCCUCAUUUUAAAAUGACCUCAUAUUAUCUUGCAUGUCUUUAGCAUAACUACUGUCAUUUAAAAAAUAAAGCAACAUAGGGAUUUUCACUGGCUACAAGUUCUAAGAAUUGUGGUAUGUCUGAGAAGUCAAAAAGGAACCGGCAGGGCAGGGGAGACAGGUGAAGUCCCAAGUUCUUUCUCCGGUUUUGGGUUUUAUCCUGAGUCAACUGUGGUACAUCUGGAAGGUGAGUUGAUGAUGUGGAGUGACCAGGGCUGACGAGGAAGAGUUAAAGCUGGAAGGAAUGCUCAACCCAGAGAAGAGCAGAGCCAUGGAGUCACGUUUCCACACUUGAAGUAUGACUGACUGACUCUGUGGCAUCCCGGUUGGCAGCACUAAGGCCGGUAAGUGGGAAUUUCAAAGCCACAAUUUGGACUCCUCUGCAAACAAGUUUGAGAGCUGUUCCCUAAAGAUACCUGAUGCCCUGUGAGGCAGGCAGUGCCUGGUCCCUGGAGGUGUUCAAAUAGGGCAGAUGGCUUCAAGGAUACUAGAGGAUAGGAAAUCCCUGCAGUCUGGUUUAUGUUCUGGGUCCUGUGUGAGCACUGGAAUAGCCUACAUCAAAUCUUAAGUCUCUCAGAGUCGCAUAAAAAAACCGAAUUAUUUAAUUCAAAGCCACGUUUUCAAUUCUGAGCAGCCCAGAGACCUGCCAUCGCUUUCUCGCGCCGAGUCACGUGGUCUGGCAAGGCGCGCGGUUUCCUCCCUAGCCGCCCCCAGCUUCCCUGAACCUUCAAAGUCACAUUUCAGUCACUCCCCAGUCUGACCAACAACGCUCACAAUGAGGGCGCUGCCAGCACAGGCGACGGCCUGCGCUCCAGUCUUACGAGAAACCCCAAAUUCAAGACCCCUGUGACCCAGCCUGUGUGCCCCGAGAGGCUAAACCUCCGCCCAGGGGCUUCCGGAUGUUGGCUGCCGCGGGUCUGGGUUUUCGGCCUGCAGAGCUCGCGUCUGACGGCUGAGGAACAAAACGCCCUCCCUCUAGCGGCUCAAGCGCACACACCCUCUUGCCCUCCGCAGCCCCCGAGCGAGUCACGGGAGACACUCUGGAGCCAUUUUGCGGGGCUGGAAUUCCUUCGCCCGGCGGAGCUCGGCGCGCACCCCUCAGCUGUGCCGAGGACCCUGCGCCCGGGGCGCCCCGCGGCCACGUGACCGCCAUCUGGCUCUCGGCCUGGACUGAGGGGGCUGAGCUCAUCGCGUUGCUAUUCGAGGGGCAGAGACAGCCUGGCCUUCCUCAAACCCUGAGCUCCCGGCUCUCCUCCCUCCCCCACCUACUUGACAUCUCAGGCUUUUUGUGGAAGGGGCAGGGCGAUUGAGAGGUCGGUGACCUUUGUCCCAAUGGCGCUGGCUUUUUUCCUUUUUGGCUACCCUAAUGGAAUGAGGAUAUAAUCAGUCAUAUCUUAACAUUCAUUGAGCCCCGGCUCAGGCUGGGAGGCACUGCCUUUCUCCUAGUGAAUUUUAAAUCAGUAUUUGUGGGAUUUAAGCUCCAGCGGAUAAACCUAGAGCCACUGGCCAUGAAGGGUGUGGCAGUGGGAUGAAAAACGGGACUUCCGCCUCCACUCCCUGGCUUUCCUCAUCCCAGCCACUAUAGAGGGGAAAAUACGUUGACCACAGAGCAACGGCCACACCCUCUUUCCUCUCCUCCAACCCCAGAAUUCCACUUCAGUCUCAGAGCUUUCAGCUAGGUGGGGUUUAUCCCCAAACGUGCCACAACCCCUCUAGUUAUAUGGGAGCGGUAACUGUGAACCACCAUCGCUGGCUUGAUCCUCCCUUUUCCGUGGAUUGGUGCUCCUGAGUAUGUUUACCGGUUUCAGUACAUAACACAGCCAGAUAGAGGGCCGCGGACUUCAGCGGCGAGAAGCUACAACAAAAAUAGGGUGAACAAAAACGAAGGUGCCCAGGAGCCUGAAUUGCAUUUCUUUCUUACCUUUGGUCAUAGAAAGGAGCACUUAGGUGUUUGGCUGGAACGCAAAGUGAGACCAGAGCUUACAUUCUUAGCAGCCUGGGUUUGUCUCGAGAGGCCAUGCUUCUCUCCUCCCUGACAUUUUGCUCUCAGAAGCACCAGUUAGCAUCAGAGGAAUGUUGUUUCCCUCUCUGAAACAGCCAUCAAGUACCAGCGAUUUCUUGGCUCCGGCAAGUUAAGUGCUCUGACCCCUCCCUUAUCUAACUCACCCCGCACACCAUCCACAUGGCAGGGGACGCAGCCAGAAAUGGAGCGGACUGCAUCUUUUCCUUGCCCACUCCUUUUUAUCACCAUGACAGAGCCACUGGACACCAGGAAAUAAAUACUGAACCACCACACUAAAACGUUUACUCCACUUUGGGCAGAAGGAGCCUAUUUUGCAUAUUAAGUGCCUCCUAUAAAGCAGUCAAGUGAGGGAAAGAGGAGUUCUCGCUCCUCCGUGAAUGCUGCACGGGAGCCUCCAGUCGGGAACAGCUGAACAGGUCAUCUCAGCAAUUUCUCAUUCAGAACCUGUUAUCCCUGGAUUGCUAUUUCAUAUACAUGGUCUUACAUUGCAGUAUCCACUUUAAAAGGUAUCCGAAGACAAAUUGCUGUCUGAACAUAAGGCCAAGAAUACAGUUCUUUUUCUAAGCAACCAAAUCUGUUUUUAUUUUACACAUAUUGUGAACUGUAUUGCUUACCAGGAUUCC